UACUUCUUUUUAAUGGCAAUCAUAACAGAAAAAGAUACCUCACAAAGAUACAGAGAACCAAGUGUUUUCAUGCCAAUGGAAACAUUUGCAAACAUCCAUUCUCAAAAUGCUGUCUCUGUUGCAUAGCUUUCUUCCAAAAAAGCGGUUACUUUUUCAUGCAUUAAACAAAUGAGUGCCUGCAUGUGCCAGAUACUGUUUUAGGCACAGGGAAUGAAGCUGACAUGCUAGCUGGGAGAGACACAUGAUACAUACAUAAAUCAAUAAUUGUAUAAUCUGUCAGGUGGCAAAAAACUGCCAUGAGGAAAAAGAAAGCAGAAUAUGAAGAUAGAGAAUAGAUGAGUGGAAGGUUGGGGAUGGGAGUUGCUAUUUUAGACAGAGUGGACUGGGAAGGCCUCUCAAAUGAAGGUGACAUUUGAGAGGAGACUUAAAAGAAGUGGGGGACCCAGCCAUGCAGCUGUGUGAGGGAUUAGCACUCCAGGUACAAAGAUCUUGAGACAGGAAGGUGGCCCUUCAUAAGCAGGGAGGAGUGUGGUAGAGGCCACGAGGUCAGAGAGGUGGCUGGCCCAGAUCAUGGAUAGUCUUGUGGAUUAUAGUAACGACAUCAGAGUUUGUCUCAGGGAGAUGGAAUGUACAAGAGUGACAGCAGCUGACUCAUAUUUUAGAAGGGUGCUCUGGGGGUGCAGAGAAUACAUUGUAAGGGGGCUGUGGGGUAGCAGGAGGGUCACCCAGGAGGCUGCUGAACCAUCCUGGGGCUGAUGGUAGGGUGAGAAGUGAUGCUGAUGAGAUAUGAUCAACUUCUGCAUAUAUCUCAAAGGUAUAAGCCAAAAGGCUUUUCUGAUGGAUUGGAUGUAGGAUGUGGGAGAAAGAAGAGUUAAGGUUGACUGCAAAGUUUAGGGUCUGAAUCUACAUAGAAUGCAGUUGCUAUUUACUGAGAUCAGGAAGCCUUAUGUGUGUUUAUGACAGAGUUUGGGCAAAAAAUCAGGAGUUUUUUGUGAGAUGUUUAAGUUAGUGAUGCCCAUUCAAUCUCCGAGUGGAGAUGUUGAGUAUGCUUUGAAUAGAUGAAUUUAAUGUUCAGGGGAAAGGUAACACCUGGAGGUAUAAAUCUGUGAGUCAACAGCCUGAAUCAGAUCAUCAAGGGUAUGGGUCCAGAUCGAGAAUAAGAUCUGAGAACUGAGACCUGGGUGCUCCAACAUACAGAAGUAGGAACCAAGGUGGAGGAUCCAGAAAGAAGGCUGAGAGUGAAUGUCUGCCAGGUAGAAGGAAAGCCAGUAGCCUGUAAUGUCCUGGAAGCCAAGUGAAGAAAGCGUGUCGGAAAGGAGUAAGCCAACAGCUACGUCAAAUGCUCCUGAGAACCGCAGAAGAUGAAGACUGAGAUGUGAGCGUCAGAUCUGGACAUGGGUCAUCAGUGACCUGACAAAGGAGGUUUCAGUGAUGGGGACAGAAGCCAAAGAGAGUGGGUUCGAUGGAGAAUGGUGGAAGAGUGUGGACCGCUCUGGUGAGGGAUUCUGUUGCAGACCGAGGCAGAGGAGCCAUAGCUGGUUGGUGAUGUAAGGUCAAGGGAAACUUCUUUUGUUUGUUUUUGUUUCUUUGCUCGCUUGUUGAAGACGUUAGAAGAGAGGGGGAAUGAUUUCAGGGGGCUACCCCUGAGCUGGGGGAGGGGAUGGGAUCCGCAGCCAGAGCGGGGGGAUUGGCCUUCGCCCAGAUGAUUUGUCUGUGACAGGACCAGGAAAGAAGAGAGAGCACGACAGUCAGACACAGGCACUGGUGGGAACGUGGUGGAGGACUCUUCUGAUUGUUUCUGGAGAAACGGCAAGAAGGGAAGCCGAAGCUCAGAAGGUCAAAUCAGGUCAUGGGGCCAGCAAGAGAGGAAUCUUAACUCGAUUCUGCCUGCUCCAAAAAGCCCAUUUUUCUGCUAACAGACCAGAACCACGUGGCAUGAAUGGACUCCUCUGCAUGACCUUGGACAUGUACUUUGACCUCUCUGGACUUGGUCCUGGUCUAUGAAGGGAGAGAGAAGGCACAAGAUGCCUGCUGAAUGCCCUACAUUUUCAUAUCCUGUGCUCCUGUGUGUGCUGGUGUGCCCCCCAAGACUAAAAUCUGUAUGAAAAACAAACUCAAAGGUUGCUGCUCUGUUUUCUGAAGUUAUCACUGGAGGCCCCAUGGUAAGGAAGAAUAAAGAUCCAGAUUGGCCAGAUGUCAAGUAGGCCCUUGAGACCCAAGGCCUAUGUUCUAGAAACUUCUAAAAGUCCUGGAUUCACAAAUGCCAACAGAGCACAUAAUUUCUCCUAACAACAAUUUCCAAACACUAGACCUGAAAACAUUCAUGGGACCCCUCAGACCUUUAGUGAACACAGUGUUGCCACAGGGAAGCCACCUGGAGCCCUGUAGACAUGCUGAGAUGUGGUCAUGCCUGGUUAGCACAAGUCCCCAGCUCUGUGCCCCAGCCACCAAAUGGUGACUCAGGAAAAUGACACGUUGCCAUGGGUGGUGGCUUCCAUGGUGGCUCAUGUGAAACAGAGACUCUGAAAGCAGGAAAACACCUGGGGUCCUUUGGGCCCUGAAGAGUAAACAUCCCAUUCCUAGCAGCCGGGAACACUGUUUUAAUAUUUCUUGCAAUAUUCCUGUCAAUGUUCAUAUCUUUCAACUCCUCCCUGGAAAACGCUGCAAAUGAUGAAAAAUAUUUUUGGGAUCCCUCCCCACUGCCACAUGAACUGGAUGACCCUGGAGAGUCAGUUCCUUUCCCCUGCACGUGGAACUGAGAGAAUGGAACACAGGAAAAUCCGACAUGCAUAACAUCCUAUCUUUAUUGACGUCUACGUCCUGGCAGGAGAGCAAGAGAAUUUGAGAUGAAAAACCAUAUGUGAGAUCUGACUCUCCUGUAAUUUAAUUCCAUUCAGUUUGACAAAUAUUUGUCGACCACGUCUGUCUGCAUGACUCUGCGAAGUACCCAGUAGCAGCCACCCUAGUGAACCUCUAAAAGGACCAGCAACUGGAAUCUACCAAGCACAUGCUGUGCUCCCAGUAAUAUUAGAAGCUUUUUCACAUCGAUUAUUUCAACAUCACACAACCUUAAGAGGUUGGUUAUGAUCAUUUCUGCUUUUCAGAUGAGAAAACUAAAGCUGGACAAGAGGAAGGAACUUGCCCAAAAUAUCACCACUAGUAAAAUGGUUA